rnacentral:rRNA from 1 species
AGUGAACGCUGGCGGUAGGCCUAACACAUGCAAGUCGAACGGCAGCACAGUAAGAGCUUGCUCUUACGGGUGUCGAGUGGCGGACGGGUGAGGAAUACAUCGGAAUCUACUUUUUCGUGGGGGAUAACGUAGGGAAACUUACGCUAAUACCGCAUACGACCUACGGGUGAAAGCAGGGGAUCUUCGGACCUUGCGCGAUUGAAUGAGCCGAUGUCGGAUUAGCUAGUUGGCGGGGUAAAGGCCCACCAAGGCGGCGAUCCGUAGCUGGUCUGAGAGCAUGAUUAGCCACACUGGAACUGAGACACGGUCCAGACUCCUACGGGAGGCAGCAGUGGGGAAUAUUGGACAAUGGGCGCGAGCCUGAUCCAGCCAUACCGCGUGGGUGAAGAAGGCCUUCGGGUUGUAAAGCCCUUUUGUUGGGAAAGAAAAGCAGCAGGUUAAUACCCCGAUGUUCUGACGGUACCCAAAGAAUAAGCACCGGCUAACUUCGUG